rnacentral:rRNA from 1 species
UACGUAGGGUGCGAGCGUUAAUCGGAAUUACUGGGCGUAAAGCGUGCGCAGGCGGUCUGUUAAGACCGAUGUGAAAUCCCCGGGCUUAACCUGGGAACUGCAUUGGUGACUGGCAGGCUUUGAGUGUGGCAGAGGGAGGUAGAAUUCCACGUGUAGCAGUGAAAUGCGUAGAGAUGUGGAGGAAUACCGAUGGCGAAGGCAGCCUCCUGGGCCAACACUGACGCUCAUGCCCGAAAGCGUGGGGAGCAUACAGG